UACGUAGGUGACCAGCGUUGUCCGGAUUUACUGGGCGUAAAGAGCGCGCAGGCGGUCGUUCAAGUCGAGUGUGAAAGCCCCCGGCUCAACUGGGGAGGGUCAUUCGAUACUGAUCGACUCGAAGGCAGGAGAGGGAAGUGGAAUUCCCGGUGUAGUGGUGAAAUGCGUAGAUAUCGGGAGGAAUACCAGUGGCGAAGGCGGCUGCCUGGCCUGUUCUUGACGCUGAGGCGCGAAAGCUGGGGGAGCAAACGGG
rnacentral:rRNA from 1 species